UCAGAGUUUGGAGGUUCACUCCACCAGCCUUAGCCCCUUGGCUCUGGCUUACAGUGAGUCAUUGCUCGCCUCAUCAGCAGGAGGCAAAGAUAGAGGGGAAGGGCUUGGGGUCCCGAAGGAGCACAUUUCCAGCAGCCUAAGAACCUUCCACAGGUCACAGUCCGGAAGGUGCACAGCACCUCCCCGCAAAGCCAGUCUGAGGAGGGUCCGUUGAUGACUUCGGCGGGUAUUUAACAUCCAUACUAUAGAUGCUGUAUAGGUUGUGCACUGCACGAAGCUGCCUGCCAGAGGGGUCCAAGAGGAGUGGGAGGUCCUGCUUGUUUGUUACUCACCACUCUGGCACGUGGUCUCGCUUGCCUGCCUCCUAAUUAAAUAAAGGCUCUGAAGAGGGUCACAGCGCAGGGAGGGGAGGGCUCCUUAUCAUCAAGCUCUUGCAGCGGUGGGAAGGCAGUAACAGGGCUGAGGCUCUGGGGAGAACAGGAAAGCUUUUUUUGCUAGAAACUCAUUUUGUGUGUGUACGGUGCUGGGGACUGAACCCUGGGCCUUGUGCAUGCAAGGCAAGAGUUGUACCCCUAAGCUACAUGCUUAGCCCUGGAAACUCAUAUUUCUAAAAGGCUUCAAAUUUAGACUUUUCUCAUUAAACCCAAGUGAAUUUAUAAAUAUAAGUACAGAAUCACACCUUUAUAAUCAGAUAAGUAAACUAGUGCAUGAGUUUUAUAGCGUGGUGUUGGGAUGUUUGCAUUUUCAAGUGCAAUAGGUGUGUGUAGGAGUGAGAGGGAUCCGGACUACUCUGGAAGCCCUUGUCCUGCUCCCCAGGACCUAGCCCUGCUUCUGGGCCCAGGCGGGCAGGUGGGUGUCGGACAGGUCACCUGCACCGAGGGCACCCUUAUGUGUUGACCCCUGCUGCCCUCUGCCUUUGGUGUGGGGGCCCAGGGCUCUUCCUUAUGCAGUGGGACGGUCGUGGAGAUGAGCCUUUGGGCUUGGUCCCUGCCUUGUGUGGGUGAGUAACAGGAGGGGUGACUGCAGGCCGAGGAAGGGCAGGCGGGUGGGAGCGUGCUGGGUUGCUAAGGACAAAGCAUCUCCCUUCCUGUGGAGCUGUCACUGCCUGGCACCUAAGAGUUUCCCUGGAACUUCCUCUGCUUUAGCACUAAGAUCCUACAGCCUGAGAUAGUCUGGGCAAUGUGGGACGGCAAACAGUUGCUCUUGGUGGAUUUGUUAAACAAAUGAAUAAAUGUGGAUUUUAUUUUCCCCAAAUCUGCACUCACUGAAGAGAACACGCUCAUGUUCUUUGUGGAAGAGACAAGGACAGAGCAGGGGUUGGCGGCUCCUGGCCAUGUGGAGAUCCAGCCGCUGCCUCCUCUGCUGGUGGCCUGAGCACUAGAAUGGCUUUUAAAAAAUCAAGUGAAGAAUAAUAGUGAUUUGUGAAGAUGUUAUGAAAAUGGAUUUGGGGGUCCACAAAUGCAGUGUAAUUGGAGCACGGCGGUGCGUGUUCGUUUACGUACUGUCUAGGGCAGCUUCAGCACUGUGACCACAGAGGAAAGUAGUUCUGACAAAGACAGCGUGACCCGCAAAUCCUGAAAUGUUUGCGAUUUGGUCUUGUGCAGGAAUAGUCUGCAGGUGCUGGGGGUAGAAGCAGCUGCAUGCACUCAAAGAGAGACAGAGGGCGAGGGUGGGAGGGCUCGCGCUGUGGAAUGGCGAUCCCUUCCACACGGGAUGCCAGCGCACUGGCAGGACUCACGACCAGGCUCUCUGCUGCACUGGCAAGGUUUCUGCACCCGCAGAAGCUGAGCGCUUCUGAGAGUAGGGAUGGCCCGCUGUGACGUGUGUGGAGAGGGAGACCUGGCUGUGACUCGGGAUGGGCCCAGGGCCUUUUCUGUUUUCUAGGUACCAGCGGUGGCUCUUGGCCUCUAAUAGGACUAGAUUCUAAAGGUGCCCGCUGGUGGCUGGGACCAAAUGUCUACCCAGCCUGUUGGGGGUGGGGCCUGGAAAGUGAUAGGAGCUGAACGUAAUGAAAACAAACACAGAGCAAUCGCCUAUGCGUCUGAGAGUGGCGGCCAAGCCUGCUCCUGGCAAGUUCCACAGAGGUUCUGCUGGCCCAGCUGUCUCAGGGGACCAGGGCAGAGCUGGAGUACGUGGGUAGUCCAGGAAGUGCCCUUGAGCCAAGGCUGAAGCAUGAGAACUGCGAGGAGAGGAGUGUUUAAAGUCCUUAGGCCGGACUCCUCCCCACUCGCUAGGAGCCACUGCCAACCUGCUGCAUGGUUGGUGCUAAAUAAGUGCUUAAAUAAAUGAGCAGAAACCUUGUUUUUCUUUUCUAGCCCCAAAGAUCUUGUUAUGAUCUGAAGUGAAUGCUUUUCAGGGUUGUGUGACCUUAAGUAAACUGCUGUCAUUCCCAGGUGUUUCCUACUAAGCUUUAAGGAUAAUAGUAGAAUGAAACCAUAUUCUUCAGUUAAAGGGAUUGAAAUAUUCGUGAAAUAGCCUGUGACCAGGCCUUUGAAAUCAGCAUUCCAGUAAAAAUGCCAGCAGCCACGUGCACCCGGUUGAGUGCCAGGUGUUUGAGGAGUGCGCUGUGUGAAUUAUCUGAGCUCUCACGGACACGUUGCCAGGUAGGUGUUCUUACUGGACGGAUGGGGAAAACAAAGUUCAGACAGCUGGAGAAACUGAUGCAGACUCCAACGUCUGCCGAUUAUUUUUCUAAGUCCCCGGUGGGAAAUGGGUCCUAGAAGAACAGGGCUCAGCACCAUUUUCUAGACCAACAGGUCCCUAUGUCUUGGUUACUUUCUCCCCACGAGGACACAGUACCCCAUAGUCACAACUUCAAAGAGCAGAGGGUUACUUCGGCUCACGUUUCCAGUGCACUGUCAGCUGGUUCCAAGAGGAAAAGGGCUUGGAAGAGGGCCUGGGCGAGGAAAGCUGCUUCCCUCACAGGAGCUGGGAAGCAGAGCAGAGGGAGCAACAUGCACGGCCCUCCUCAGAGAGCCGCCUCCUCUGCCACUGUGCACCGCCCCAUGAUUCCAUCAGCCUGAGAGAGCCCCGCCUGCACGCGUGCCAGGCUGCGGGGCACUUGCUCCCCCGGCCCGGACCUUACCACCUGGGAACUAGCGUCCUUGCCUUUCUGUCCACAGGUUGAAUUUCUGAACAUCAGCAGUCACACGGCCAUGACAGACUCAGAUUAAGGAAAACAGAUUAAGCUUUUCUCCUGGCUUUUUUCCUAGCUGCACGCAGCUGAUUUUUCAUCAAUCAUCUCAGAAGAGACAUAGAUAAAUCUCUGCUUCAUUAUAUUCGUCAGAAGCCUGAGGAACUACAGAAGUGUAUUAUUUUUGAAUAAUUUAGCCAAACAGUUCCCUGUGCUUGAGGAGGUACUGUACCUGGACUGGAGUCCUGGAGACCAGAUGAAGAAACUGAGGUCCCAGGAGGGGAAGUGAUUUGGUCCGGGUCUCACCAGGAUCAAAUGUGGUUUGCCUGACUCACGUGCAUUGCUCAUGCCCACACCGGUCCAUCAAGGAAGCCUGUGUGUGUGCAAGGGGGAGGGCUAGACCACGCCUCGCCGCAGAUUUUGAAGCUUAUGAUGGGCAAUUUCAAACAAAUAAAGUCAUCAGACCGCUACAGUGAAGUUUCAUCCACUACCACCCAGCUUCGGUAUUAACAGCUCCUGCUGAAUGUGAUCUUCAUGUACUUCUCUGCUUCUUUAUUAUUUUGAAGCGGAUCUUAAGACAUUAUAUUUCUUUGGUCCUAAAUAUUUCAGCACGUACCAUAAAAGACAAAAGUGCUUAAAGCCUCACUGUGACAUUUUUAUUACUCUUUAUAAAGCUCACAUCAAGUCUUCAGUAUCAGGAUCUUUAAGUCACCUGGUGACUCAGGCACGGCCGAGGGCAGUGCUAGGUGCAGAGCAGCGCCGGCAUGGGAAGAGAAGCUCUGCACAGGAGAGUGGUGGGACCUUCCGACGGAAGGGCAAGCAACUCGGUUGCCAGGUGAACUGUGCGAUGCCUACUUGCCACAGAGCCAGAAGUGUGUUUCGCUCAUAGAACAAUAAGCUGGGAGAAGAGGCAGUGUGUGCGGGAGGGAUAGAAGCAGAAGGACAGGGCUGGACAGGUGCAGCAGUAUCCUCAGAGGAUGCUAUUUGCGGAUGCUGUCACCUAUAUUUUCUCCUUUGAGCCUCCCCUGAACCAUCUGGCUAGGAGAGUCAACUCCAGUUUCUUCCCUGUCCCAUGGAGAUAUUCUUGUUUCCCGCAGAGGUGGUGCCCACGGCUCCCCACUGCUGCUGCAUCCAGGCUGCCUCAGCACCCUCACGGGUUCUCCUACACCAUCUGCUCUUUGUAAACAGCCUGGACUUUGGCAGGUCUCUUGCCACUGCCAACCUGCUUGAGUGUGUUAGCCGGGGUCUGGGAGCACCACGACUGGUAAGCACUAUAUGCCAUCGGGGGUAAUAUGCAGUGGAACUCUACCCCCCAUAGUAGGUGUUUCUUUGGGUGGAGCCCCGCCUCAUCUCUCUCCAGCAUGCAGAAAGGGCCUGUAGAGGAACAGCCACGUGAACAUUUUAGCAUGUUGAUCAAAAGUCAGUAGGAGAAAGAAAGGAGCUGCAGGCUGUUUGUCACCACUAGGCUAUCCAAGUAAGCCUCUUCAUGAUUCGUCCUACACAGCAGGCUUCAACAGGAAACGGUUAUUUUAGCGUCCUCGCUCCUCCUCCUGUGAUGUUGACUUUGUAAAAUGUUUUCACAAUUUCCUUCUCUUUGCAGCUGCAGCCUCCUGUCAGCAUAGUCUUUUACCAACAGCAUAAACAGCUCAGAGAUUCUGACUUUGUUGGAAGAAAUAUACUGGCUUCUCUGAGUGAAGACUUCUGUAGGGUGAAGUGUCCUCAUUGUAAUCCCAUAUAUAUUUCUACAACUCCACCAUCUUACACCGAAGCUGGCUGUGUGAAUAUGUGACCUAGUGACCUUGGGAAAAAUGAGACAAACAGGCUGCUGACGAGAGCUGGCCAGGAUGGGGCUGCAGAGAGAUCAGGUGCAUGGAUCAAGAACACAUUUACCUCAGAUCCACCUGGAGAGGAGGAAAAAGAAGGCUCAUGUCAGAUCAAUCAGUUGCCCUUUUUGUGUGUAGGGAAACCAACAUCAUGUCUUAGAAUCCUAGAGCUGUGCAGAGCUGUAGGAAUGACCCAGACCAGGGUCAGAAAUCUGUAGCUCAUGGACACCUGAUUCUGUAAAGAAAAUUUUACUGGAACAUAGUCAUGGUCACUGGUUUGCAUCUUGUCUAUAACUGGUUUUUGGAUGGAACAAUGGAGUUGAACAGUUAUGACAAAGAACAUGUGGUCUGCAAAGCUAAAAGCAUUCACUACAUGGCCCUUUAUAGAGAGUUUGUUGACCACUGACCUAAGCAAGUACCUCUUACAGUUAUUACCCGUCCUGCAGGAUGCUCUAUGCAAAGAAAAUUCUGGCCAAAACACUUGGAAAACACACAAUUUUGCCCUCUUGGAGCUUCAUGAGUUACACCACCCUAUUGUAAGAGUCCCUGCCCAAAUCCUCUGAGAGUUCUGCUUUCUGUGAGCAUAGUGUCACUUUCUGUUUGUUUCCUUCACCUUCUUGUCCAGGAAGUUCACGUGGUACCUGUGUGGGGAGGUGGAAGUAGCUGAGAGUCAAUGCCUUCCAAAGUAGACCUCAAGCCGUGAUGGAUGGCACAUGGGAGAAAAUUCCACACUUUCCUUGCCUCUUGGCUGAGAAAACUCUGAGGCACGUUCCCCAUUUCUCCCGGUGCUCACCAGGGGAUUGCACUCCAGGUGCUCACAGUGGGCCUACUCAUUCAGCGACCAUGUGUUGAGUGGGUGGAAAUCACCUCCUGAAGAAUUUUAUUCUAAUCCUUAGAGUGUGCUUCUAGGUGAACCUGAGCUAAGCUAAGGACUAAUUGAAGGGUGUGAGAAGUCUUUCUUACUGUGGUCCUUAAGAAUCUUUCUGAUAUGGCCUCAAUCCAACGUAUCAGCGUAAAUCUUCACAUCUCCCCCAUAUCUUUGCCUUAUGCUGCUUUUGAGUCAGAUCAAACUCUUUUUUUUUUUUUCCAAUAUAUUGAAACUGCCAUGCUCUUAUAUGACAAUGUUAUUUUAUUCUUGUUGCCUUGACAACACCUACUCCACUUUCAGGCCAUAGAUAAAAUGUCAUAUCAUCUGGAGAGUCAAAAAUAUUAAA